ensembl:lncRNA
GAGAUCACUCUUGUUAAUUUCACACUGGCUGGCAAGUAUUGUCAUUUAGCCCUUUGAAAGGUUUCUUGAGUUGUCGGACUCCACUUGUUGAAGCUGUCUGGGCUUUUGAGGCCAUUUGGUUUAGCAGGUCCUCAAAUUAUCACACCAUUCUGUUAUUGUUUAUCACAUGUACACAUUUUCUUGUAUUUCCAAAAUUACAUUUCAUGAGUAGUUCCCGUUGAGAAACAAAGUGAGAUGUGAGUAAAAUGUCUGCCUUACCUUUGUCUUGAAAAGAGAAAAGGAAGUGAAAGGAGAGGCUUUGGAGGCAGCAGGUGUCUUCUCUUCCUCUGGUGGUGGUGGUUCUAGUGUGGCAGAGGCCUCCAGAGUGGCCGUCUUUGAGAAGUCUACAUUCUUUACCGAAACAGCAAAAGAGAAAACUUAAUUAUAAACCAUUGUCAGGAUUAAUUAAGGAAGGUCUAAGAGCCCACAAGAGUCCACCACCUGGAAGAACCAGAAAAUAACCCACUAAAACAGAUAAGAAAGAAAGAGAUAAGAGGGUGAUAAAAAUCUCUACUCAGGUACCAAAACUGGUACUGUAAAAUAGAUAUUAUGUGAUUUGCCCCUUAGCACCACUUUAUUGCUGAGAUGAAUGAAACAACUUGUAACUGAUCAGAGGAAGCUGGUGAGAGAAGCUAUAGGAGGAUGUGCUCAUUGUAAUUGAUGGAAUGGAGUCCCUGGAAUGGUACCAAACACAAACACAUGCAAACAACAUAUUUUACUCCAUUCCAUUUAUUCCAUUCCAGGCAUUACAAUAAGCCUGUCAUCUUAUAGCUCCUCCCACCAGCCUCCUCUGUAACUGAUAGCAUGAACACCCAUUUUCACCAUGCAACCCAACAGAAAGAGACAAAGAUGGCACGUGAGGAUGGAGUAUGCCAAGAGUUCUCUCCUUUUACCUGUACUUCCACAACCGGUUGUGGCUCCACUGGUUCCACUGUCUACAGGAGAGCAGAACGAUGUUAAUCUGAACAUGUGCCAUAUAACUAGACCUUCUACUGUAUGGUCUGCAUGGCAAAGCACGGAUAGGUGUGUAGAAGCACAGUUCACCACACAAAUAAAGACACAAAGUCGCACAUGCACACAUACAGUCAGAAUGAAAAUGUAAUUCAGUUUCUGUAUGAACACAUACAGUCAGAAUGAAAAUGUAAUUCAGUUUCUGUAUGAACACAUACAGUCAGAAUGAAAAUGUAAUUCAGUUUCUGUAUGAACACAUACAGUCCGAAUGAAAAUGUAAUUCAGUUUCUGUAUGAACACAUACAGUCCGAAUGAAAAUGUAAUUCAGUUUCUGUAUGAACACAUACAGUCCGAAUGAAAAUGUAAUUCAGUUUCUGUAUGAACACAUACAGUCCGAAUGAAAAUGUAAUUCAGUUUCUGUAUGAAAUUAAUACUUGGUCUGCUGUUUCGUUGGGUUAAAAUGACUGAAUUAGAUUUUGUUGGAUUUCUGAUGUUGUUUGGGAUGCUGUUAUGCUAUUUAUGUUCACAGAUGAUGAAUGAAGAGAUGCAGACCUCAGCCCAUUCUCCACAAGUCAUGCCAUCAGUCCAGCUAAAUGCAGCACUAUCUAAAGUGUGUUGAUUCCACAUUGAGAAAAACAUAAGCAAUAAAACUCUAUGGAAUGUCACAUUAUGUCACUGGAAGUAUCGGGAUAGAUUUACAUUUACAGGAAUGCUCUGAGGGACUGCUCUGAGAGACUGUUUUGUUUGAUAUCUGUAUUGAUGCUCUGCUCAAGAGAAAGGGCAGCAGUCUGUGUGAUGUAGCUGGUAGAUAUUGUACCCACAAGAUGCAAUGAUUUGAAUACAGUUAAAGGAAAUGAAGGAUGUCACAGUGAGCUUAACUCUGUUAGUUUCAAAAUGGCUGAAUGUUGUAUUGUCAUACCGCUGCAGCAGGCUUGGCAGGGGCUCUGGCUCCACUUGUUGACUUAACCUUGAUUUUAGACUUGAGGCCUAUCAGUGCCUCAAAUUCACAUCAAACUGUUACAAUCUGACACACAUUUAUGUUUUAUGUUCUCUUUUACAAAAUAUUAUCUGCUGCCAAAGAAUGCUUCUAAGUGCCUUGUUCUACAGGAGUUGGCUUACCUUUCUGCUGAAAAGUCUGCUGAACGGGCGGUCAGAUUUCGGCUUGGCGGCCUCUGGUUCUUUGGCAGCACCCUUUGGUUCUUCGUUUGGUGUGUUGGUCACAGAUUGGGCAGCUAGUUCUGCUUUAACCUCCAUCUUACAUGAGCCUAGGGCUGGGGCUGGGGCUGGGGCUGGGGCUGGGGCUGGGGAUGGGGCUGGGGCUGGGGCUGGGGCUGGGGCUGGGGCUGGGGCUGGGGAUGGGGCUGGGGCUGGGGCUGGUGGGAUUGACAUUCCUCCUUUGGCUGUUGCUGGAGCAUCCACUAGUUGUGCAGC